UGGGCACUGAUGAUUCUGCCAUUGUUGCAGAUGUUGGAGGUGCAGCUUUAGAAUCUGGCAUCUCUGCAUUAGGCACUAAAUUAGUACCUAUAACCGGUGGAUCAGUGGGAAUCUCUGCGCCCCUGUCAAACAUUAGCCUCGGCCGAUUUUUCUUAUUUUUGAUAAGAUUGUGGGUCUUCUUGGCAAGGAGUUCUUCUUCUAACCCUACAAUCUUCGGCAUAUUUUCUCCCCUACACAACCUUGUAAUUAAAAAAAGAAAGGGAUAUGUUGUAUCAGACCUCGAGACACAAAUUUUUAUCUCUUCGGCAAUAAUCUCUCCAAAAUUCAAUUUGAGGUUAGCCACAAAACUUGUGACUAAUAUUGCUCUAU
rnacentral:lncRNA from 1 species